rnacentral:rRNA from 1 species
ACUCAAAUGAAUUGACGGGGGCCCGCACAAGCGGCGGAGCAUGUUGCUUAAUUCGAGGCAACGCGAAGAACCUUACCUGGGCUUGACAUGCAGGGAAAAGCCGUGGAGACACGGUGUCCUUCGGGGCCCUGCACAGGUGGUGCAUGGCUGUCGUCAGCUCGUGUCGUGAGAUGUUGGGUUAAGUCCCGCAACGAGCGCAACCCUUGUCCUAUGUUGCCAGCGGGUAAUGCCGGGGACUCGUAGGAGACUGCCGGGGUCAACUCGGAGGAAGGUGGGGAUGACGUCAAGUCAUCAUGCCCCUUAUGUCCAGGGCUGCAAACAUGCUACAAUGGCCGGUACAAAGGGCCGCUAUCCCGCGAGGGUGAGCCAAUCCCAGAAAGCCGGUCUCAGUUCGGAUUGAAGUCUGCAACUCGACUUCAUGAAGCCGGAGUCGCUAGUAAUCCCGGAUCAGCAUUGCCGGGGUGAAUACGUUCCCGGGCCUUGCACACACCGCCCGU